GUGUAGGAUAGGUGGGAGACUGUGAAGCGGGCACGCUAGUGUUCGUGGAGUCAUUGUUGAAAUACCACUCUGGUCACUUUGGAUGUCUAACGUAGGACCCUGAUCGGGUUCAUGGACAGUGCCUGAUGGGUAGUUUAACUGGGGCGGUUGCCUCCCAAAGAGUAACGGAGGCGCCCAAAGGUUCCCUCAACCUGGUUGGCAAUCAGGUGGCGAGUGUAAGUGCACAAGGGAGCUUGACUGUGAGACUGACAGGUCGAGCAGGGACGAAAGUCGGGACUAGUGAUCCGGCAGUGGCUUGUGGAAGCGCUGUCGCUCAACGGAUAAAAGGUACCUCGGGGAUAACAGGCUGAUCUUGCCCAAGAGUCCAUAUCGACGGCAUGGUUUGGCACCUCGAUGUCGGCUCGUCGCAUCCUGGGGCUGGAGUAGGUCCCAAGGGUUGGGCUGUUCGCCCAUUAAAGCGGUACGCGAGCUGGGUUUAGAACGUCGUGAGACAGUUCGGUCCCUAUCCGCUGCGCGCGUUGGAAAUUUGAGAAGAUCUAUCCCUAGUACGAGAGGACCGGGAUGGACGAACCUCUGGUGUGUCAGUUGUUCUGCCAAGGGCACCGCUGAUUAGCUACGUUCGGACCGGAUAACCGCUGAAAGCAUCUAAGCGGGAAGCCGUCUUCGAGAUGAGAUUUCCAUGCACCUUGAGUGUGAGAGGCUCCCAGCAGACUACUGGGUUGAUAGGCCGGAUGUGGAAGCGGGGACUAACGACCCGUGGAGCUGACCGGUACUAAUAAGCCGAAGACUUGACACACA
rnacentral:rRNA from 1 species